GACAGAGGUGGCAAGCGUUGUUCGGAUUCAUUGGGUGUAAAGGGUGCGUAGGCGGUUUGGAAAGUCAGAUGUGAAAUACUACAGCUCAACUGUAGAACUGCAUUUGAAACUUCCAGACUAGAGUAUGGAAGAGGUGAAGGGAAUUCCCGGUGUAAGGGUGAAAUCUGCAGAUAUCGGGAAGAACACCAGUAGCGAAGGCGCUUCACUGGUCCAUUACUGACGCUGAGUGCACGAAGGUGUGGGGAGCAAACGGG
rnacentral:rRNA from 1 species